rnacentral:rRNA from 1 species
CGGGUGAGUAAUACGUAGGAAUUUGCCAUGCAGAGCGGGACAACCCGGGGAAACUCGGGCUAAUACCGCAUAGACACUCGAUAGAGGAAAGGUGGCCGACUCCGAAAGGAGGGUCACGCUGGAUGAGAAGCCUACGGGAGAUUAGCUAGUUGGUGGGGUAAAGGCCUACCAAGGCGACGAUCUCUAGCUGGUCUGAGAGGACGAUCAGCCACACUGGGACUGAGAUACGGCCCAG